rnacentral:misc_RNA from 1 species
GAAAUGCGAUAAGUAAUGUGAAUUGCAUAAUUCCGUGAAUCAUCGAAUCUUUGAACGCACAUUGCGCCCUCUGGCAUUCCGGGGGGCAUGCCUGUCCGAGCGUCAUUACGCACCCUCAAGCCCGGCUUGUGUGAUGGGCCCCGGCGUCUCGUUCGCGAGACGGGCCCGAAAGGCAGCGGCGGCGUCGACCCGAUGAGCCCGAGCGUAUGGGGACUUCUGUCACACGUUCGCGGUGCGGACCGGCGCCUGCUUGACUUUUCUGAUUAUCCAGGUUGACCUCGGAUCAGGUAGGGAUACCCGCUGAACUUAAGC